GUGUUUGGCUACUUGGUGUGAACUAUGAUGAACACAUUUAUCCCGAAUCUGAACCUUUUUUGCUGAGACAAUUUACGGAUCUGACUACUGAGUUCAACAGGAGCUAGUAAAGUUAGCUACUUUUCUAUUGCAGAAACUGCAAACUUAAGUCUGUUAUUAAUCUUGUGCAGGUGAGCGUCCCCACAAAACCAGGAGAAAUCUGGCAGCUCUGAAGAUGCUGAAUGUGUUCAGUGGCGUUCCCCAUAAUUGACAAGGUCUGCUGCACAGAGGGAUCGGGCUGCUUGGAGAGGCUGAAAGUGUUCGAUGGAAUUCCACCUAAUUGACGAGCUUGCCUUGCUGGGUUGUCUGGGGCCCAUAAGCCUGGCUGGAAGUUCCAGGAGGGCAGCCACCUGGAGGAGCUAUAGGAAGAAGGAGAGCAACUCUUGUGGCUUAUUCAAAGCUGUGGAAACGGUCUCAUUUUUGACUGCAUUGAUUAAAAUGAAAUUGAGAUCUUACCCCAAAUUUCUCAGAGCUUGUGGAAAAGUUUGCAGAAAUGCACAGAUUUCAUGUAAUCCCAUGUAAAACAAGAGGAUUAUGCACAAUCCUAUCUGACCUGCAAAAUAAUUUAAAUAUGCUAAUGUUAGGGACCACAUUACUCCCAUUUUGGCAUCCUUACACUGGCUUCCUGUAUACUACAGAAUCCAAUUUCAAUUGCUUGAACUCUAUACUGGCUCCAGGCAUCAAAUCAGCUGCUACUGACUGUCAGUUUCAGCUGAAACUCAAGGGUGAUCGGGCCUUUGCUGUUGCUGCACUGAUACUAUUGAACAGUCUACCCCUGGACAUUAGGUCUGCACCCUCUAUUGAUGCUUUUAAGUCUAGAUUAAAAACCUAUUUUUAUCGAUCA